rnacentral:rRNA from 1 species
GUCCGCGCGGUAAACGAUGGAUGCCCGCCGUUGGGAUUUGGAUUUCAGCGGCCAAGCGAAAGCGUUAAGCAUCCCACCUGGGGAGUACGCCGGCAACGGUGAAACUCAAAGGAAUUGACGGGGCCCGCACAAGCGGAGGAACAUGUGGUUUAAUUCGAUGAUACGCGAGGAACCUUACCCGGGCUUGAAUUGCAGGAGAACGAUCCAGAGAUGGUGAGGCCCUUCGGGGCUCCUGUGAAGGUGCUGCAUGGUUGUCGU